rnacentral:rRNA from 1 species
UACAGAGGGGGCAAGCGUUGUUCGGAAUUACUGGGCGUAAAGGGCGCGUAGGCGGCCUUCUAAGUCGAACGUGAAAUCCCCGGGCUCAACCCGGGAACUGCGUCCGAUACUGGAAGGCUUGAAUCCGGGAGAGGGAUGCGGAAUUCCAGGUGUAGCGGUGAAGUGCGUAGAUAUCUGGAGGAACACCGGUGGCGAAGGCGGCAUCCUGGACCGGCAUUGACGCUGAGGCGCGAAAGCCAGGGGAGCAAACGGG